rnacentral:rRNA from 1 species
UCUUUAAUGGAGAGUUUGAUCCUGGCUCAGGACGAACGCUGGCGGCGUGCCUAAUACAUGCAAGUCGAGCGGGGUUAAUUAGAAGCUUGCUUCUAAUU